rnacentral:lncRNA from 1 species
AUUUCCCAUGGGCAUAAAGUUCAAGAUGCUUUACUGGUUCCUUUCGAGACUGAACUACAGACACAGGACUACCAUCCAAACAAUUUGAAAACGGGGGUUGUUGAGCAAGGCGCGCAAGGCAGAAGCAACCGAAUAAACAAAAACAACACUCGCAAGAGUUAGCCACAGCAAAGAGGGGCCAGGUUCCUCGGGAUCCGACCCAGCUGCUCUGAUUUCACACCGACCUCCAUCAACAGCUAAACUGCACAGGGAGGAGGAUCGAACGGAUCCCUCCCGCCCUCCGCCCAAGGAGCCGACCCGGGGUAGCAAGACCCCCGCCCCCGCCAGGCUAGGACGAGCAGCCGCCACCGCUGCCACCGCCACCACCGCCGCCGCAGCGCCUCAGUGCGGCCCCGCCUCCGCCGCCCCACCACCUUCACCACCUCCACGCUCCGGUACCGCCCCUCCCGCCAAUCGGACAGCUCCGGCUACGCCCCCAGGGCGCUAGCCCGCAGCCAAUGAGCAACGAGAGCCCGACUGGGAGUCGCGCCGGCCAAUCGCAGGGGCCGAGGAAGCCUUGAAUCUCCGGGCAAGUUAAGUUUAUCUCCGAGGCUCGGAACUGAAGGGAGGUGGCGGUUAGCUAAGUAGUAGGGUAGCAGGGAACAGUUUGCUCUCCUCUGCCAAUAAGAGGACGAGGGUGUGUCAUAUGCAAAUAUACUGCCCUCCAAGCCCCACCCCCAAGAUAAGCUACGCCCCCUUCUCUAGGUCCCUGCAGAAGUGACCUUCCUGAGGCAGCUGUUCGGAUACAUGCAGAGCACAGCGCCCUGCUCAGAAAGGAAGGUUCAGAGAACAAAUUGUCGUUUAAAACUAUUGGGACAAACCUACCUCUUCUAAAGCUUAAAAUGGUCUCCAGCGUACCAGGAUUUGUGAAGGCCUGAAGUUCGUAGAAUGAAAUCUAUGUGGAGAUGAUUUAAAAGAACGGUUUCACUGAGACCAACACAUAUAAACCAAGUCUACACAAGAAACAAAGCUAAAAUCCUUUCGAAAUGAGUUCCUUUAAGUUCUUCAGUAACUAAAUCCUCCAGAAAGGAAAGCCGAGAGAAUCUAGUCCUAUACAAUAACACCCUCUAACAAAGAUCGCUAAAGGAAGAUUUUAGUAGAUGAAUAUCUUCAAUAAUACAUGGUCACAUACAUGUAUCUGACCAUAUGAUGGCUCUCUGCACCAAAUUCCUCCAAACUAUUAUAAUAUGUAUUGUCUGUAGUGCUAUUUAUUUGGCAGUUAAUCAUGUAUUACAUUGUGACAUUUCUUACAGUGAACCAUUAUGUAUGUGUUUAUGUUCUGCCCUCAACUACUCAAUGCCAGUACCUUAUUCUUAACACAGCAACCACCCUUUCUGGUCUGUCCUCACACCCUCAUUCCCAUCAUAGUUAUUCUCCUCUCUCAUGGAAAUGUUCAGUUUCUGGACAUCUCCUUUCUCUUCCAUUCUUCACCUGACCUUCCUUCCU